rnacentral:rRNA from 1 species
CCUACGGGUGGCAGCAGUGAGGAAUAUUGGUCAAUGGCCGCAAGGCUGAACCAGCCAAGUCGCGUGAGGGACGACUGCCCUAUGGGUUGUAAACCUCUUUUGUCGGGGAGGAAUAAAUACUACGUGUAGCCUGAUGCCUGUACCUUAUGAAUAAACCUCGGCAAACUCCGUGCCAGCAGCCGCGGUAAUACGGAGGAUUCGAGCGUUAUCCGGAUUUAUUGGGUUUAAAGGGUGCGUAGGCGGGCUUUUAAGUCAGCGGUAAAAAUUCGGGGCUCAACCCCGUCCGGCCGUUGAAACUGGGGGCCUUGAGUGGGCGAGAAGAAGGCGGAAUGCGUGGUGUAGCGGUGAAAUGCAUAGAUAUCACGCAGAACCCCGAUUGCGAAGGCAGCCUUCCGGCGCCCUACUGACGCUGAGGCACGAAAGCGCGGGGAUCGAACAGGAUUAGAUACCCUAGUAGUC